GAUGAACGCUGGCGGCGUGCUUAACACAUGCAAGUCGAACGGAAAGGCUCCUGCUUGCCGGGGUACUCGAGUGGCGAACGGGUGAGUAACACGUGGGUGAUCUGCCCUGCACUUCGGGAUAAGCCUGGGAAACUGGGUCUAAUACCGGAUAGGACCACAUUUUGGAUGGUGUGGUGGAAAGUUUUUCGGUGUGGGAUGAGCUCGCGGCCUAUCAGCUUGUUGGUGGGGUAAUGGCCUACCAAGGCGUCGACGGGUAGCCGGCCUGAGAGGGUGUACGGCCACAUUGGGACUGAGAUACGGCCCAGACUCCUACGGGAGGCAGCAGUGGGGAAUAUUGCACAAUGGGCGCAAGCCUGAUGCAGCGACGCCGCGUGGGGGAUGACGGCCUUCGGGUUGUAAACUCCUUUCGCUAGGGACGAAGCGCAAGUGACGGUACCUGGAGAAGAAGCACCGGCUAACUACG
rnacentral:rRNA from 1 species